GCUGGAUGCAGCGGUGCACGCCUGUAAUCCAAGUAAUUUAGGAGGCUGAGACAGGAGGAUUCGCAGGUUCAAAGUCAGCCUUGGCAACAGCAAGGCACUAAGCAACUCAGUGAGACCCUGUCUCUU
rnacentral:sRNA from 1 species